AACGCACAUUGCGCCCUUUGGUAUUCCUUAGGGCAUGCCUGUUCGAGCGUCAUUUAAACCCUCAAGCAUAGCUUGGUGUUGGGCGUCUGCUUCCCCUCGGGGAGGCUCGCCUCAAAUGCAUUGGCAGCCGGUACGUUGGCUUCGAGCGCAGCAGAAAAGCGCCUGGCGUCUGACGGUAGCGGCUCUCCAGCAAGUCCACCCCAAUUUUGACCUCGGAUCAGGUAGGGAUACCCGCUGAACUUAA
rnacentral:misc_RNA from 1 species